AGCAGCAUAGCAUAGUGGUAAGGAGUAGGGCUUGUAACCGAAAGGUUGCUGGUUCGAUUCCCAGCUGGGGCAC
rnacentral:tRNA from 1 species